rnacentral:rRNA from 1 species
GACUGCAUUGUAGCUUGCUACAUUGUAGUUAGUGGCAGACGGGUGAGUAAUACGUAGGAAUCUACCUGAUAGUAUGGAAUAGCUGUUAGAAAUGACAGGUAAUACCGUAUAUUCCCUAAGGGGGAAAGAUUUAUCGCUAUCAGAUGAGCCUGCGCUAGAUUAGCUUGUUGGUAGGGUAAUGGCCUACCAAGGCUCUGAUCUAUAGCUGGUCUGAGAGGACGAUCAGCCACACUGGAACUGAGAUACGGUCCAGACUCCUACGGGAGGCAGCAGUGGGGAAUAUUGGACAAUGGGCGAAAGCCUGAUCCAGCCAUGCCGCAUGAGUGAAGAAGGCCUUAGGGUUGUAAAACUCUUUUAGUGGGGAAGAUAAUGACGGUACCCACAGAAAAAGUCCCGGCAAACUCCGUGCCAGCAGCCGCGGUAAUACGGAGGGGGCAAGCGUUGUUCGGAAUUAUUGGGCGUAAAGGGCACGUAGGCGGCUUAAUAAGUUAAAAGUGAAAUACCAGGGCUCAACCUUGGAACAGCUUUUAAUACUGUUAAGCUAGAGUUCGAAAGAGGAUAGUGGAAUUCCUAGUGUAGAGGUGAAAUUCGUAAAUAUUAGGAGGAACAUCAGUGGCGAAGGCGACUAUCUGGGGCGAUACUGACGCUAAGGUGCGAAAGCGUGGGGAGCAAACAGGAUUAGAUACCCUGGUAGUCCACGCUGUAAACGAUGAGUGCUAGAUGUAGGAAUUAUUUUCUGUGUCACAGCUAACGCGUUAAGCACUCCGCCUGGGGACUACGGUCGCAAGACUAAAACUCAAAGGAAUUGACGGGGACCCGCACAAGCGGUGGAGCAUGUGGUUUAAUUCGAUGCAACGCGAAAAACCUUACCACUCCUUGACAUGGAGGUUUUAUUCUUUCGAAGGAAAGAAGUCAGUUAGGCUGGACCUCACACAAGUGCUGCAUGGCUGUCGUCAGCUCGUGUCGUGAGAUGUUGGGUUAAGUCCCGCAACGAGCGCAACCCCCAUCCUUAGUUACCAACAGGUAAAGCUGGGCACUCUAAGGAAACUGCUAGUGAUAAGCUGGAGGAAGGUGGGGACGAUGUCAAGUCAUCACGGCCUUUAUGGAGUGGGCUACACACGUGCUACAAUGGCGACUACAAUGGGUUGCAAAACUGCAAGGUUGAGCUAAUCCCCAAAAGUCGUCUCAGUUCGGAUUGCUCUCUGCAACUCGGGAGCAUGAAGUUGGAAUCGCUAGUAAUCGUGGAUCAGCACGCCACGGUGAAUACGUUCUCGGGUCUUGUACACAC